rnacentral:rRNA from 1 species
AGCUCUGUAAGCGUAUACCAAAGUUGUUGCAGUUAAAACGCUCGUAGUCGAACUUUGGCGGGCGAUGCUUGACGUCCGUGAGGACGGUUUUGCGUCGAACGCCUUUGUGGAUGGAGGCUUGGUGGUUCUUUGUUGAAUUGCCCUGUCGCCGCCACCGUUUACUGUGAAAAAAUUAGAGUGUUCAAAGCGGGCGAUUGCCAUGAAUACAUUAGCAUGGAAUAAUAGAAUAGGACCUGAUCUUAUUCUGUUGGUUUGUUAAAAUCAGGUAAUGAUUAAGAGGGACGGUCGGGGGCAUUUGUAUUCCGGGGUUAGAGGUGAAAUUCUUGGAUCCUCGGAAGACAAACAGCUGCGAAAGCGUCUGCCAAGGACGUUUUCA